GGAGGGAAUGGAAAAUCCAUUCCCUUGUCUGGGAGUUUAAGUAGGAGGGAAUGGAAUGGUUAGGAGGGAAUGCUCAUUCCUCCCUUUUCCCUCCAAACCUCAAAUUUUUGUUCCUCUCAAAAUUGGGAGGAAUGGAAGGGAAUAGGUUUAGGUUUAAUGAAAUUUUUGUUAAAACCCCUAAAUACCCCUUUAAUAUCAACCAUUCUUUUCUCAAUCAGCCGUAAGAAAAAAAACAUAGCUACACGUUAUUGCCUAUUUGCUGCAAAGUGAAGCUAUUGCUGUUUCGUGAGACACCAUUGAAGCUACUGCUGUUUAUUCUUUGACUGCUGCAAGUUUUGGUUACUGCUCACAAGUAAGUCUUUCUUUUUCUUAUGUUUCUACCGGUUCUGUUAUGUUUGCUUCCUACUUCAUGUCUUGUCAUAUAUUUUCUAUCUUUGUUUCGUGAACAAUCUUCUCCAAAUUUAUGAACAAAUUUGAGGAAUGUAUCACUGUUUCUACGGGUUAUAUUGCUUUGGCUCAAAGCAGUAUUCUUACAAGGAGAGUUCUACAUUAGGAGAAGGUUAUUCAAAGAAUAUGUUGUGGGUUUGUGUGAGGAAAUAUUUUUCAUUAAUGUCUUGGGAUUGUGGAUUGAGAUUGAUUCAUUAAAAAAAAUUCAAAGCCUGUAGAAACACGUUAUGCCAAUGUAUACAACUUAUUGGAUAAUCUUAUUUUUGGUCUGACACUUAAAAUUCAAUUUGCUAUUGCUUUUAAGUGUUCCAAUGAAUCAUUGAUUCUUCUCCACACCUCGUUCCCCAAUGAAUAAUUGAUUCUGUGUGCAUGUGUUUGGACUUGAUAGAAAACAAGAUAGGGUGGAUGUCUUGGGAUUGUGGAUUGAGAAUGAUUCAUUAAAAAAAAAAUAAAAUAAAAACCCGUAGAAACAUGUUAUGCCAAUGUAUACAUUGAUGUCUUGGGAUUGUGGAUUGAGAUUGAUGUAAAUACGAACUCAUUGCCGUACCUUCAUUGCUACAACCGAUACAAAGCUCAUACCCAUUCUUUAAAGCUCGAAACUAUGCUUAAAAAAUCCAUACAGGAAAGGAUACGUUACAUGGAAGAAAGACAACUGACACUUGAAAGAUUUCAGUUGGGUAACAAAUGGACAAAACCAAAAAAGAAAAGAGAGAACGAAAGUUGAGUGUUUAUAAGCAUUGGUAGUGCUCAUAAAUCAUGUCAUUAAUAUUGCAUUUUUGUUGGCAUUGUCAGUGGUGUAGGAAGAUCUAUUCUUUAUCAAGUCUUUGGAAGAUAGAAAUUAUUUUAGAGCGUGUGGAAACCGAAGUUGUUGGAAGGGAUUUUUUUUUUUUUUUUUGAUUAUGGUACUAUAAAUUAGUCACCGUUUAUUUUGUUUUUGUCGAGGACUCUAGACGUGGCAUAAUCAUGGAGACUCAAUAGUACGUAUAUUGUUUUUAGAAUUUAAUGUGCUGGCAAGAGUUUUGUGGGCUAGACUUCAAAGCAUAAUUAAAAUAAUUGUUGCUGAUAAAGAUAUAAGCAUAACAUGUUAGUGAGUAAGAGAGGAAAGGUUUUAGUUAGUUUACAAAUUUUACAUAAGUUCGGGGCUAUCCAAAUAGUGUUAUUUGCCUUUCAUGUUAGGAGAUAUGCUCUGUUUUUUGGUCAAGAAACAGAGUAUUUUUAAGUCAGCCAUAUUUUCAUUAGGCGAGGGUGAGGAUUAGAGAGAGGGUUUUUGUUAGAUGAUAUUCCUCUCAGGUUAAUGAAUUUAGUUUAAGCCAAUAUAUGUCCAACACUCAUAAUGCCAGCAAUCAAAGAGCACACAACAUGUCACUUCAACGUUAACAUGCAAUGGGAUGAAUGUUAAAAUCUUCUACAAAACCAAGUUUAAAAUUUUCUCACCACUUCAGCUCAAAGCAGUAGGUCCGUAGCCAUUGGCCCAACGAGUCAUUAUACAACUUUUCAAAUAUGUUGUUAUAUUUUUUACACUUUUUCAUUGAGUUAAUCUCAUAGUUUAUUUUGAGUACAUUGAUUAAUUUCUUGAAUUGUAAAUAAAUACACUGAUUAAUGUCUUCAAUUAAUUUUUAUUUAAUAUGAAUUAAUUAUCUUUAUUUUUUUUUAUUUUUUUAUUAUAUAGUUUUUUAUUUAUUGAUGCAAACUAAUAUUUUUUAGAUUAAUUUCGUUUUCAAUCUUAUCUUGUAACCUUGCCACCCCGAACUAAAAUCCUAACUCAUAAUUAGUUAGGCUAAUAACGUAACUAUUUUUUAGAACAUGUACCCAUUAUUUUCUAAGUUGGACUAAUAACAUAACUAUUUUUUUACUUAGAUGGACUUCAAUGAUGAGGUACUUAAGACCAUAAUUUUUUCGAACUUUAUGCGGAAACUAGUCUUGGUUCAUGCUACAUGCCGUUAUUUGUGUUACAUUAUCCAUCAAAGGCAACAACUAAAAAGAAGUCGUGUUUCCCACAUUCCUGCACAAUCAACCAUAGAAAGACAAAAAGUUCACGAUGAACUAAUGUCUCGACUUAGGAAUAGUGAAAAAUGCUAUGAUGUAAUACGCAUGGGUCCACAAGCUUUUCAAGGUUUGUGUGACAUUUUGCGGAAAGACGAUGAUCUUCAAGACACACAGCGUGCCACGGUUGAAGAGCAAGUUGGCAAGUUUCUUCACAUGCUAGCACAUAAUCAGAUGACUUGUACAAUGUCCUUUUUUUGUCGUUCCAGUGAGACCAUUAGUCGCCAUUUUCAUAACGUGUUAAGAUCAAUAAUUAUGUUAGAGGAUCAAUUCCUUUGACAACCUGAUGGAACUCAAGUGCCACUUGAAAUACUACAAAGUAGUAGGUUCAACCCAUAUUUUAAGGAUUGUAUUGGGGCACUUGAUAGAACACAUAUUCGUGUCAAAGUUUCAAAUGAGGAUGUACCAAGAUAUCGGGGUAGAAAGGGUUACACAACACAAAAUGUGUUGGCGGCAUGCUCAUUUGAUUUAAAAUUUACAUACGUAUUACCAGGUUGGGAAGAAACUGCUUCAAAUUCAAGAAUAAUAAAGAAUACUUUAACUAGAAACGACAACUUGAAAAUCCCACAGGGUAAAUUUAAUUCAAAUACGUAUUAGGGUGUAUUCUUUAUAAUUAAAAAAUUUGUAGUAUAUAAUUAAUGGUUGUUAUUGUUUAUUAGGUAAAUAUUAUCUUGUUGAUGCGGGAUACAUGAAUAGAAAUCGUCUGAUUGCACCUUAUAGGGGAGUGCGUUAUCAUUUAAAAGAGUACUCUAUUCGUCCUCCUGAAAAUGUUAAAGAAUUGUUUAAUUUGCGACAUGCGUCAUUGCGCACUGCUAUUAAAAGAGCAUUUGGUGUACUUAAAAAGAGAUUUUCUAUCAUAGCAAGUAUUACAGAGCCUAAUUAUUGUGUUGACACCCAAAAUGAAAUCAUUUUAGCAUAUUGCAUACUUCAUAAUUAUUUAAUGAGUGUCAAUCCUGAUGAAAGUCUUAUUGUUGAAGUUGAUGAAGAGGUUUUGCAUUCUCAUCGUGAACGUGUAGCCCCUACUCUAAGAGAAGAUGAUGAGGAUGCUAGGCAAUGAGAUAUUAUAAGAGAUUCUAUAGCAUUAGCCAUGUGGCAAAACUAUGUCCAAAUGUGAUAGCUUUUGGGUUUAUUGUUGUCAUGUCGUUUAAGAAUAUGCUAUGUUUCAAUUACUUAGACCUAAAUGUUAUGCAAAUUUCUCUUUUCAUUUUGAUAUUGCUCUCUAUCUUUUGAUAAUUAAUAUUAAUAUUUACACAAUAUUUUACAUGUGCUUUUUGUUCUAUUAAUUAUAGUAUGGGUAAGAUAUAAAAAAAGAAUGGUGGAGAUCCAAACAAAGAAGUACAAUGAAGUAGUGUUAUGGAUGAUGCUUUAGUGGAUGCUUUUUUACAUCAGGUGAUCAUAGGUGGUAGAGUUAAUGGAACUUUUACCUCUAAGGCAUAUGAUGACAUAGUGAAAGAGUUGGUUGAAAAAUUUGACAUGGAAAUUAACAAGGAUAAGGUGAAAAAUCGACAAAAGAUACUGAAGAAGAAUUUUCAUGAAUGCUAUGACAUAUUUAAAGAUGGAUUGAGUAGUUUUGGAUGUAAUGAUUCUUUAAAUAUGUGGACAGCUGAACCAGAAGUUUGGGAGCCACUCAUAACGGUAAAUUACCAUUUUUUGUGAGUUUAAUUUUGUAUUUCAUAAUUAUAUCUGUUGUUGGUUUGUAACAGUCUAAACCUGCAGCCAAAAAGUAGAUGACAACACCUAUACCCAACUACUCUGAGAUGGCACAACUUUGGGCUAAAGAUAGAGUAAAAGGUGAUCAUGCUGAAACUGCAAAAGAGAAAUGUGCUAGGUAUGUUGCAUCGACCACUAUUGAUGAGAUUGAUAAUUUGAUAUCUCAAAAUGAAGUUUCUUUGGAGAACUUUGAAGUGGAAGAUGAUCAAAGGUCACCAGAAAUUAAUGUUGCACGUUCUCGAGUGUCAUCACAAGAUGCAAUGUCUUCUAAAAGCAAGAAAAGACGACUUGCAAUGCCCCAAUUUGAUUGAUUGUAUGAUGUGUGUGGGUGUGUAAUGAGUCCC